GCCAGGCGUGGUGGCCCGCGCCUGUAAUCCCAGCUACUCAGGAGGCUGAGGCAAAAGAAUUGCUUGAACCCAGGAGAAGGAGGGUGCAGUGAGCCGAGAUGGCGCCACUGCACUCCAGCCUGGGCAACAGAGUGAGACUCUGUCUCAA
ensembl:misc_RNA Metazoa_SRP Metazoan signal recognition particle RNA